AUAUAUAUGGGCUUCUCUACACCUGCCACAUUUCCAUAUAGACCGAUCACAGACGUUUGAGAGAAGGUCUUGUAAUAAAUAAGAGGCCAUCAAAGACUGCAAGUGAACGGAAUGUCUUGCAAAUGAUGUCAAAAAAGAAGAACAGAAAACACCAGCAUCAAUGAAAACUGACAGAUUAAGACUGGGAUAUUCCUACCUGAGAAUGGGCACAGCUGGGUCCAUGGAAACCCAGUUACGACUGACUUACUGAUUAGCUGAGAACUCGCCUGUUGUUUCAUCCUUUGCUAUUUUUGUGUGUUGCUUUUUUACGUGUUUUAACAGUGAUGUAACUGUGAGGACUUUUUCAGCACUGCGUUUGAAAUGUAAUAACACUGCAUUUAUAACUGAAACUUAUAUUAUUGAAUCUUAUAACUGCGAACGCUCGUCUGUACUUUAGACAGUAGGGCAAGGCCAAUACAACUAUUGGCACCUGGAUUGCAGCUUAGAAAACAUAUCCGCUUUAACAAAUGUUCCAUUCUUUUGUUUUAAUUCACUGUUAUCCAGUUGCGUGAUUAAUUUUUGUUGUCUGAAUCCUGUAUUUUUUUUUUCAUUGUUUCCCUGAUCUGUUCCUCGAUAACCCCUAUUUCUAAAGGUUUGUCUUGCCAGUGUUUUUCUUUGCUCAGUGCAAAGACUUUAAUGAAAGUGAAUGUAUAGUACAAUUUAGAGGAACAAAACAUUACAGUUAAAUGGCUGAUUAUGUUGUACAUUAUUUUUUUAUAAGUUAAGAAGCUCCA